AUACGGAGGGAGCGAGCGUUAAUCGGAAUUACUGGGCGUAAAGCGCGCGUAGGCGGCUUUGUAAGUCGGAUGUGAAAGCCCUGGGCUCAACCUGGGAAUUGCAUUCGAUACUGCAGAACUAGAGUAUGGUAGAGGGAAGUGGAAUUUCCGGUGUAGCGGUGAAAUGCGUAGAUAUCGGAAGGAACACCAGUGGCGAAGGCGACUUCCUGGGCCAAUACUGACGCUGAGGUGCGAAAGCGUGGGGAGCGAACAGGAUUAGAAACCCCGGUAGUCC
rnacentral:rRNA from 1 species